CAGAAACAAUUGAUCUUGAUGGAACAAUCUUGUUUUUAUAUAAAAUUUCAAGCUGGUGAUGACAUGUAUAAAAGAAAAAGUGCUGCAAGCAGUAAAUGCUGUUCAGUUUGCAUUCCAUUACAUCAACAUAUCUAAAUGAUCCUCUUUAGCCCAAACUAUCAGAAUGAAUUUUCCACAUCAGCCACAAGAAUGACCUUCUGGCAUACAAGACACUUCUUACCAUGUAAUGCAAGGAAAAAAAAAAGUUCAGGUACUUCAAUAGGAUGUUGGAAAAGAAGACUUCCACUCUAAUAGGAUGAAAAAAUGAUCAUCUAUUUACAUCAUUCUGAUUUAAUUGCUUCACAAUCCACUAUAAAGAUUUGCUCUGACCCUAAUAUUUAAAAUUUUCUACUUUUUUUCCCACUUUUCUCUCACAUAAAUUAGGUGUUUCAUUCUUUUUCCUACUUAUUAUUUUAUUUACACCAUUCUGUGUUGAGCACAGAAAGGUGGAAGUAUAUAGCCCUGUUCUCUGUUUUUAAUGCUCUGUAUAUUUUUAUUUCCUUUUCUGUGGAAUCA
rnacentral:lncRNA from 1 species